AGAGUUUGAUUCUGGCUCAGGAUGAACGCUAGCGAUAGGCCUAACACAUGCAAGUCGAGGGGCAGCACAUGAAGUAGCAAUACGGAUGGUGGCGACCGGCGCACGGGUGAGUAACGUGUAUGCAACCUGCCUACAACAGGGGAAUAACCCGUUGAAAGACGGACUAAUACCCCAUAACACAGGGAUCCCGCAUGGGAAUAUUUGCUAAAGAUUUAUCGGUUGUAGAUGGGCAUGCGUUCCAUUAGCUUGUUGGUGAGGUAACGGCUCACCAAGGCAACGAUGGAUAGGGGAACUGAGAGGUUUAUCCCCCACACUGGUACUGAGACACGGACCAGACUCCUACGGGAGGCAGCAGUGAGGAAUAUUGGUCAAUGGACGCAAGUCUGAGCCAGCCACGUCGCGUGAAGGAAGACGGCCCUACGGGUUGUAAACUUCUUUUGUAAGGGAAUAAAGUGUAGUACGUGUACUAUUUUGCAUGUACCUUACGAAUAAGGAUCGGCUAACUCCGUGCCAGCAGCCGCGGUAAUACGGAGGAUCCGAGCGUUAUCCGGAUUUAUUGGGUUUAAAGGGUGCGCAGGCGGGAGAUUAAGUCGGCGGUGAAAUUUUGCAGCUCAACUGUAAAAGUGCCUUCGAAACUGGUUUCCUUGAGUGUGGAUGAAGUAGGCGGAAUUUGUGGUGUAGCGGUGAAAUGCAUAGAUAUCACGAGGAACUCCGAUUGCGCAGGCAGCUUACUAAACCAUAACUGACGCUCAGGCACGAAGGCGUGGGGAUCAAACAGGAUUAGAUACCCUGGUAGUC
rnacentral:rRNA from 1 species